rnacentral:rRNA from 1 species
GGAUCGGAGUCUGNAACCCGACUCCGUGAAGCUGGAUUCGCUAGUAAUCGCGCAUCAGCCAUGGCGCGGUGAAUACGUUCCCGGGCCUUGUACACACCGCCCGUCAAGCCAUGGAAGCCGGGGGCGCUUGAAGUGCGUUGCCGCAAGGCGCGCCCUAGAGCGAAACCGGUGACUGGGGCUAAGUCGUAACAAGGUAUC